rnacentral:rRNA from 1 species
UGCAGUCGAACGGUAACAGGUCUUCGGACGCUGACGAGUGGCGAACGGGUGAGUAAUACAUCGGAACGUGCCCAGUCGUGGGGGAUAACUACUCGAAAGAGUAGCUAAUACCGCAUACGAUCUGAGGAUGAAAGCGGGGGACCUUCGGGCCUCGCGCGAUUGGAGCGGCCGAUGGCAGAUUAGGUAGUUGGUGGGAUAAAAGCUUACCAAGCCGACGAUCUGUAGCUGGUCUGAGAGGACGACCAGCCACACUGGGACUGAGACACGGCCCAGACUCCUACGGGAGGCAGCAGUGGGGAAUUUUGGACAAUGGGCGAAAGCCUGAUCCAGCAAUGCCGCGUGCAGGAUGAAGGCCUUCGGGUUGUAAACUGCUUUUGUACGGAACGAAAAAGCUUCUCCUAAUACGAGAGGCCCAUGACGGUACCGUAAGAAUAAGCACCGGCUAACUACGUGCCAGCAGCCGCGGUAAUACGUAGGGUGCGAGCGUUAAUCGGAAUUACUGGGCGUAAAGCGUGCGCAGGCGGUUAUGUAAGACAGAUGUGAAAUCCCCGGGCUCAACCUGGGAACUGCAUUUGUGACUGCAUGGCUAGAGUACGGUAGAGGGGGAUGGAAUUCCGCGUGUAGCAGUGAAAUGCGUAGAUAUGCGGAGGAACACCGAUGGCGAA